CCACCCUGUGCUUUUGGUUUCAUAUUUAAGAACCCACUGCCAAACUCAAGGUCAUGAAGAUUUGUCCAGCAUUUUCUUCUAAGAGUGGUACGGUUUUAACUUUUACAUUUAGGGUUGAUGCCUCGAUUCACUCUUAUUUAUUUAUUUUUUGGCCACAUCAUGUGUAGCAUGUGCGAUCUUAGCUCCCGGACCAGGGAUCGAACCCGGGCCCCCUACACUGGAAGCAUAGAGCCUUCACCUCUGGACCACCAGGGAAAUCCCUGAAUUCACUCCUAAAGGAAAAAGGAACCCACUUAAGACAGAGCUAAUUUCCCUGUUUUCUCUCUAGGUUUGGGCCUGGGAACCAACUACUUAAGACCCAAAGAACCUUUUAUUUAGCACAUAGUAAUGUCUUGCAUAUGUUUUCUAUUAUCAUCUGAUCCCUAGAGCAUGUCACUGUAUUCUGAAAACUGGAAUCCCGCAAUGAAGAAUCAUAUUGGCAAGUGGUCCUUUACCAGCACUCGCUCAGCCUGAAUACUUCACACCUGAGGAUGAACCUCACUUCUCCUGAGCAGGGCCUCAGUUUCCCCAAAGGUAAAAAUCAGAUCUUGGCUGAGACUCCUCCCUGCAGGGCCGUCUGCGAUGCUGCCAACGAGGUGCCGUUCCCUCCCACCUGCUGCUCUUCAGAGUCUGUUCACUGGACACGGGUUUGUUUUUCAUCUCUUUAGCAGCAGGGCUUCUCUAAACGGCAGACCUUUGUGCAGAAGUCUGGCUUGUGAACGAUGAAAGUGGAGCUUCUCUGGGUAGAGCAAGGAGGAGGCCUUUGAGGACAGCGCCCAAACAUCCAGGAGAGGAAGUGGAGGGCCCCUCCACCUCUCCCCCGGCAGCCGAGGCCUGGAGUCCAUCCUCGGAGUGCAGAGCCCCGCCCAGAGCCCGGGGCACUUCCAGCUUCUUCCCUUGUGAUUCUCAUCUUCUGGCUAACGAGUUGGGGGCCAGUGAGAAGAGCCUGGCCCCUGCCCUGCCGUGAUUCUGGGGGUGGAUAUUCCCCAACAGGAGGUUCUUCAGCCGGGCAGGGUGGUGCCCAGCAAGAAAGAGCACACUGCUGUAGGGUCGCUGCCUAGAGUUUGAUGAAGAGACAACAUGCUAACUGGGGCAGUGUUACGGGAAACCAACGAAGGAUGGUGAGGGGCCGCCCCCAUCCCUAGAGAGGUGACUGAAGAGACACCCCACCUGGAUACAGCUGUAGGGAAAGCCUGGCCCUCAGAGACAGACACAGCCACUGCCCAGCCAGAACCAGUGGGAGAGCAGGGACCUGGGAGGCCAGGGAAGGCCAGCCUCCUGGGACACCGGACACGGUGGUGAUGGGUGGCAAAUUGCUGUUGUCGUUGUUCAGUCGCUCAGUAGUGUCCAACUCUUUGCGACUCAAUGGACUGCAGCACACCAGGCCUCCCUGACCAUCACCAACUCCCGGAGUUUACUCAGAUUCGUGUCCAUCGAGUCAGACACGAUGGCCAUGCCAUUCAACAAACAGAGGAUGCCAUUCAUCCUCUGUCGCCCCCUUCUCCUACCCUCAGUCUUUCCCAGCAUUAGGGUCUUUUCCAGUGAGUCAGCUCUUACCAUCGGGUGGCCGACAGGGGACAAACAGGCCUGAAGCAAACGUAGGGCAUCCAGCAUCUGCCCCCAUAGUCUCUUGUGGCUUGUCUUUCUCACAGGGAAGGGUUGUUUUUUAAAUUUUUUAAUUGAAAAGGCCAUCUUUUUUUUUUCAUUUUAUUUAUUUAUUUAUUUGGCCCCACCAUGCAGCAUGUGGGACCCUAGUCCCCCAACCAGGGAUCGAACCCGUUCCCCCUGCAUUGGGAUCAUGGAGCCUUAACCACUGGACCACCAGGGACUUCUCCAUGGGGGAGUUUUUAAUGGUCAGCAUGCCAGAAAGUUCCAUUUCACCUGAGGACCACACCCCCAAUCCCCGCAGUGCCCCCUGCAGGGUCCCAAGUGCCAGGACCGGGGCCCAUCCAUAACUUUGGAUGGAGCGAAGUUCUCAGUCAAGCCAGGAAGCCAAACCUACAGGUUCGCUACCAUGUGCCAGACCCUGGAUCAGAGCCAGCUGCUCCUGGGAUAGGCCCCCUUCCUAUGAAGCCAAAUGCCAGCUCUGGUAGGUCCACGGGGCAGGCCUUUCCAGCCUAUGAGCGCCCUUGCUGUUGGACAUUCAGUGGUCACUCUGUCCUACAUACCCCUAGGGGCCAGCCCUGUACCAGG